CAAAGAUGGGUUGAGCAAUCUGUAAUUCCCAUCAAGAACACUGCAGUGGACAGAACUCUCUAUCUCUACGCUCAUUCUCAUUUCAGUGGCGAGCCAGCUGGCUGUGCAGGGUUGCCGUCUCUCAGUGUUUGUGUGGUGCCAAGGGACAGUGGAGAGGCAUAAAUAUUCAGUAAUAAGCUCCAGGAAAGUGCAGGGAAUCUUGAUGGGAGCAUGUGACAUGAUAAAGGGGACUGAGUUUGGCUCUGUGGGGCAGAAUAACACUGUCUAUGGCCACUGGCAAUUGGGAGGAAUACGGUGCAGCUGACGGCAGGGGAGUUGGACAGAGGAGGCCGUUUAGAAGUACAUUUAGGAAAGCCUGCACCAAGGAAAAGAUUGGGAUGUGUCCUGAGGCCCUGAUGAAAAACCACAGGCUCUGGGUCUCUUCUCUCUGAACUUGAAGAGGGAAGAAAAAGAAGCAGCGAAGUAUCACCUUUAUCCAGCCCAGGCCCCGGAGUCCAUUCUGCAAACUCCCUCUUCCCCAAAUGAAGGCUGACAUCCUCAUUGAAGGAGAGUCCUUCUGAGAAGACUGCAGUUGUGCACCCUGCGAUGGAGACUGUCAUCCUGCGAGCAGGAAUGAUGUGUGAUGGGUGUGAGCAGGGAGUUUUCAGGUGAUUUACAACUCCAGUCCUAGCUGCAGAUCUUGGGAGGUAACCUUGCUCCAAAUCCUAAUUUAUAAAACUAAGAAUUGGCUUCACAUUCUCAAGGCCCUUUGCAGCUCCAUAGU